rnacentral:lncRNA from 1 species
GUGAGUCUGAAGCCUCAGUCUCCUGCUGGGCCAGCUUGGCGUUCGUUCUAAUGGACUUGCAGAUUCUGUACUUAGCUCUUGAAGUUUCAAAUACAAAGACUCCGGGUCAGACCUUGUUUACCGCAUGGGAGCUUGUUGAAACAAUUUAUACACAGAGAAAGUUGAGUCCCAGCUCUUGGGAUGAACGCUGAGGAGAGAGGAUGUGGUUCCGUUAUAUUUUUCAAUUAUUUGUCAGACAAAGUAGGCAAGAAUUACCGCAGCUGGAUGAGAACAGGAACAAUUUCAGCAGAGAGUUAGGAUGAGAGUCUCUUCCAGUGGACACUAGCUACAGCCCUGGUCGGUCUCUUUUCUGGUCCCAAGAGGGAAACUAGAAGCAUCAUAAAGCUUUUGGUGUUUGGCAGAAGGACUGGUAAGUUAGUUUGGGUUUGUUUUAAAUUCACUGUGGAGCCAGAUGCUGUAGUUCCAACUUUUCAGGAGGCAGAGAUGAGAGAAUCAUGUGAGCCCCUGAGUUCAAGACCAGCCCAGGCAACAAGGAGACCCCACCUAAAAAGAAGAGGGAAGGAGUGCAGAGAUGGCUCAGCGUUUAAGAGCACUUUCUGCUCCUCUAGAGGAACUACGUUCACUUUCACCACCCACAGGUGGCUGUAUGUAGGCUCCAGGGGAUCAGAGGCCAGAAUGGGCAUACGUGCUCACGAGCACACAUCCACGUGCAGACACGCACUCUAUACAUAAUUAAAAAUAAUACGUAAAGUCUUUAAGAGGCAGGGGAGAAGAAGAACUGGAAAGAGACAGAGGGAGAGUAUGGGAGACUAGGAUGAGGGAGAAGAGAAAAGUGACAUUAUACAUGGGAGGCAGAGCACGCUUCAGAAAUGGAAGGUUGUCAAGGCGGGCUGUAGAGCUCAGAAUCCGAGUCUUCCAGAUGCCUUUGAUGGCAGCUGUAGGGCAAGAUUCUUGAAGGUUGUCAGCUCCCUCCUCCCGACAGCGCUGUAUCAGCUCUACUAGCCCAGAGUAGAUCUCACUCUCCUAGUGGAUAAUAAAUUCAAGACAUAGGUAGGUAAGUCUUACAUCUCAUAGGAGCAAGUUCUGACAGGAAAAAUUCUCCCAGCAGGAAAGAGGGCAAGGUGUUGAGAUUUUUAAACUCCCAGCAAGGAAGCACGCAGCCCCAGGUGUUUGGAACUUCCAAAGGAACCUUCAGGUUGCAUUUCAAGCCUUAAAGCCCAAAACAACGUUAGAGGCUCAUGGAAGGAUUUCACGAAGGGGAGAUCACAUGACUGUAUUGUAGUUCAUGUGACAGUACUGGAGAUGGACAUGGCCCUGGUCAUUCGCAACAGCUCUAUUAUUCUGUGUCUCAAAGAGAAACUUCCAUAGACUUCCUCCUAGAGACUUGAUUUGUCAAGUACCAGUUCACCUGCUUACGGUAAAGAAAAACACCAGGCUCUACAGGUUAAAUAACAAAAGGCAAUUAUCUAAUUUGGGGCUUAGGGAGAUAUUUAAACUUUUUCUGUUUCUUUUCUUUUCUUCUCUCUUCUUUUCUUUUCUUUUCUUUUUUAAACUGGAGAUCUGAAGAAGAAUAAUCCAUGUUCUGCUAGGUCACCAUCAACAGAUGGCUUAAUGAAUGCCCCUGUUUACC